rnacentral:rRNA from 1 species
GACGAACGCUGGCGGCGUGCUUAACACAUGCAAGUCGAACGGGAAGGCCCUGCUUUUGUGGGGUGCUCGAGUGGCGAACGGGUGAGUAACACGUGAGUAACCUGCCCUUGACUUUGGGAUAACUUCAGGAAACUGGGGCUAAUACCGGAUAGGAGCUCCUGCUGCAUGGUGGGGGUUGGAAAGUUUCGGCGGUUGGGGAUGGACUCGCGGCUUAUCAGCUUGUUGGUGGGGUAGUGGCUUACCAAGGCUUUGACGGGUAGCCGGCCUGAGAGGGUGACCGGCCAGAUUGGGACUGAGAUACGGCCCAGACUCCUACGGGAGGCAGCAGUGGGGAAUAUUGCACAAGGGGCGGAAGCCUUAUGCAGCAACGCCGCGUGCGGGAUGACGGCCUUCGGGUUGUAUACCGCUUUCGCCUGUGACGAAGCGUGAGUGACGGUAAUGGGUAAAGAAGCACCGGCUAACUACGUG